rnacentral:rRNA from 1 species
AGUGAACGCUGGCGGUAGGCCUAACACAUGCAAGUCGAACGGCAGCACAGUAAGAGCUUGCUCUUACGGGUGGCGAGUGGCGGACGGGUGAGGAAUACAUCGGAAUCUACUUUUUCGUGGGGGAUAACGUAGGGAAACUUACGCUAAUACCGCAUACGACCUACGGGUGAAAGCAGGGGAUCUUCGGACCUUGCGCGAUUGAAUGAGCCGAUGUCGGAUUAGCUAGUUGGCGGGGUAAAGGCCCACCAAGGCGACGAUCCGUAGCUGGUCUGAGAGGAUGAUCAGCCACACUGGAACUGAGACACGGUCCAGACUCCUACGGGAGGCAGCAGUGGGGAAUAUUGGACAAUGGGCGCAAGCCUGAUCCAGCCAUACCGCGUGGGUGAAGAAGGCCUUCGGGUUGUAAAGCCCUUUUAUUGGGAAAGAAAAGCAGCAGAUUAAUACCCCGCUGUUCUGACGGUACCCAAAGAGUAAGCACCGGCUAACUUCGUG